rnacentral:rRNA from 1 species
AUCACUGCUAUUGGAAUUCGGCUAAGGCAUGCGAGUCGAGAGGGUACGGCCCUCGGCAGACGGCUCAGUAACACGUGGACAAUCUGCCCUUAGGUGGGGGAUAAUCUCGAGAAAUUGAGCAUAAUACCCCAUAGUUCUAGAUUGCUGGAAUGCUUCUAGAAUGAAAGCCCCGGCGCCUAAGGAUGAGUCUGCGGCCUAUCAGGUUGUAGUGAGUGUAACGGACUCACUAGCCGACGACGGGUACGGGUCCUGGAAGGGAGCGCCCGGAGAUGGACUCUGAGACAAGAGUCCAGGCCCUACGGGGCGCAGCAGCUACGAAAACUUCACAAUGCGGGAAACCGUGAUGAGGGAAUUCCAAGUGCUAAUACUUUGUAUUAGCUGUUUACUUGCCUAAAAAGCAUGUAGAGUAAGGGCUGGGUAAGACUGGUGCCAGCCGCCGCGGUAAUACCAGCAGCCCAAGUGGUGAUCGUUAUUAUUGGGCCUAAAGCGUCCGUAGCCGGUUUGGUAAACCCUUGGGUAAAUCGGGCAGCUCAACUGUCCGAAUUCUGAGGAGACUGCCAGACUUGGGACCGGGAGAGGUCAGAGGUACUUCUAGGGUAGAGGUGAAAUUCUGUAAUCCUAGGAGGACCACCAGUGGCGAAGGCGUCUGUCUAGAACGGGUCCGACGGUAAGGGACGAAACCCUGGGGCGCGAACCGGAUUAGAUACCCGGGUAGUCCAGGGCGUAAACGCUGCGGGCUUGGUGUUGGGGGUCCUACGAGGGCGUCCAGUGCCGGAGAGAAGUUGUUAAGCCCGCCGCCUGGGGAGUACGGUCGCAAGACUGAAACUUAAAGGAAUUGGCGGGGGAGC